UACCAGGAGUGACUUCUGGCUCUUCCUGCAAAUCAAAAUGGCUAUAAAAAGUAAACAUUUUGAAUCUAUCCAGGACAUCAAAGCACCCAUAAAGAUUUUCAUAAAAGAGGACUUCAAGACUUGUUUCAAAAAGUGAGCAAACAAGAACUGCUGCUUUGUAAAAAGCCAGACCAAAUAAAAUAAUCUCACCUAGGAGUGAAAGGCAGAGGGCUGUUGAAGCAUAAGCACAGAAUAGAGAAAGAGGCUGGCCAGAAGGAAGGCUGGAGCUCAGGAUGGGCAUGCUCCACAGCAGGUCUCGGACCCAGGCUGCAUCCUGAAUUAAGACUUCACAGAAGAACAUACAGGAGGCCUUAGAAGCAAUGAGCUCCAGUGGAAAUGAACACAUUCUAGAAUCCACAUCUUAUUGCCUAAAUAAUUUCUCCAAUAAAAGAAAACAUUCAGAGAAGUGGUUGAUUUCACAGCUGAAACAGAAGAAGUACAAGGUGGCCCUGGAGCAUCCUGAGUGGACAUGAAACAAUAAUUGCUCUGACAAGAACAGGAAGCGUGUUGAAAUGGCGUGUGAAUCACCUAAAGAGCUCCCAAUGCCCCACUGUGGAACAAGUAGAGCAAGUAUAAAUAAAUGGAUAAACAAGUAAAUAAAAUUUUAACCCAUCAAUAUGAUAAAUAUUGGUAGUUCUAGGAGAAGUAGUUCCUCUGUAUAACAAAAUUCCAAUUACUAAAUAAAGAAUGAAGGAACUUAAAACUACCAUUAGAACACCACAGUAAUUACUAUGUGGACAAGACUCACAGGUGGAUACUAAAAUUAGUAGUAUUGUAAAUGUGCUGCAUAAGCCAUCUGUAUUUUAGUAUGAGGCUCAAAAACAAAACACUUAAACAAUAAGUGCAUUAAUAUGAUAAGAGAGCAGCAAUAUAAAAAACUGAGGCAGAAGGAUUGCAAAUUUGAGUCCCAUCCAGGCAACUUAGCAAGACUCUGCCUCAAAAUAGACAAAAAUAGACAAACUGGCGUUCAGUGAUAGAAUGCCCUGGUUUUCCUCCAAAGUAACAAGCCUGUUUAAUAAAUGGUGCUAGAAAAACUGGCUUUCCACAUGCCGAAGACUAAAACUAGAUCUAU